AGUGAACGCUGGCGGUAGGCCUAACACAUGCAAGUCGAACGGCAGCACAGUAAGAGCUUGCUCUUACGGGUGGCGAGUGGCGGACGGGUGAGGAAUACAUCGGAAUCUACUUUUUCGUGGGGGAUAACGUAGGGAAACUUACGCUAAUACCGCAUACUACCUACGGGUGAAAGCAGGGGAUCUUCGGACCUUGCGCGAUUGAAUGAGCCGAUGUCGGAUUAGCUAGUUGGCGGGGUAAAGGCCCACCAAGGCGACGAUCCGUAGCUGGUCUGAGAGGAUGAUCAGCCACACUGGAACUGAGACACGGUCCAGACUCCUACGGGAGGCAGCAGUGGGGAAUAUUGGACAAUGGGCGCAAGCCUGCUCCAGCCAUACCGCGUGGGUGAAGAAGGCCUUCGGGUUGUAAAGCCCUUUUGUUGGGAAAGAAAAGCAGCAGGUUAAUACCCCGCUGUUCUGACGGUACCCAAAGAAUAAGCACCGGCUAACUUCGUG
rnacentral:rRNA from 1 species